CCUACGGGAGGCAGCAGUGGGGAAUAUUGGACAAUGGGCGCAAGCCUGAUCCAGCCAUGCCGCGUGAGUGAUGAAGGCCUUAGGGUUGUAAAGCUCUUUUGUCCGGGACGAUAAUGACGGUACCGGAAGAAUAAGCCCCGGCUAACUUCGUGCCAGCAGCCGCGGUAAUACGAAGGGGGCUAGCGUUGCUCGGAAUCACUGGGCGUAAAGGGCGCGUAGGCGGCCAUUUAAGUCGGGGGUGAAAGCCUGUGGCUCAACCACAGAAUUGCCUUCGAUACUGGGUGGCUUGAGUCCGGAAGAGGUUGGUGGAACUGCGAGUGUAGAGGUGAAAUUCGUAGAUAUUCGCAAGAACACCGGUGGCGAAGGCGGCCAACUGGUCCGGAACUGACGCUGAGGCGCGAAAGCGUGGGGAGCAAACAGGAUUAGAUACCCUUGUAGUC
rnacentral:rRNA from 1 species